ACCGUUACAGGGGAAGAAGAAGUUGUUUUUUUAAGAUCUGCUGAUCUCCUUUACAUUUAAAAUCAACUCUGGCUACAUUUAAGCUCAUUCUGCUUGGAUACACAGCAGAAUUUGGUGUUGAAGGAUGGAGGAAGAGAUCCAAUACUCCUCUGUGGUUUUCAAAGGUAGAGCUGCAGCUUCAAGAAACAAUAAGGAGGAACUUUCUGUUUAUUCUUCUAUAAAAGGUAAAAAGCCUUUGACCAGCGAAACAGAUAAGUUUUGGUUGAUAAAGUUGAAAUAGUUCCAUUUUCAAGAAAGUAUUUUGUUUGAUUUUUAGACCUAUGAACAGGGGAGAGUGAAAUAAAGGAAACUUUUGCUGAUGAUGCUGAUGCUUUCAUUCUUCUAUCACACAGAAAAAAAAAGAGAAUGAUGUCAUUUAUUCUCAAGUUGAACUGAAAACCCGUUCUCCCUCAGCACCACGUGAGUUAUAAAUUAAACAAAACACACCUGAACUUCAUGAUUAUUGAUGCUGCUUCUCUGUUUUUUUUCUUUGGAACCAUAGUGGUUAAUGUAUUUUUUUGUAGACCAUCUUCUUUCUUAUGUGUUACAAUAAACACAAAAUUUGUCUCCUGACAAAACCAAAAAAUUCUUCAGAUAACUGAAAUGAUAUAACUAUUUGUUAAAAAAAACAGACAUAAUAAUUGGCAAAAGCCCAAACGUUUUCUUAAAAAACAGCUGUGUUAAAGACCACUUUUCUCAUUGUCUUGCUUGUUUUCUUUCAUACAGCAAACCAGAACGAAACCAUUUCUUCUGAUAUUAAAAAAGGGAACCAAAAGAGAAAAAAAGACAAUUCACCAAAAAUCCAAGAAUCUGGCGGCCGAUUUCAUCACCUGCUGUGUUUGGGGAUCAUUUGUUUCCUCCUGUGUGCCAUCAUCAUCACUGUCAUCAUUUACU